UACGUAGGGUGCGAGCGUUAAUCGGAAUUACUGGGCGUAAAGCGUGCGCAGGCGGUUCGCCAAGUCAGAUGUGAAAGCCCCGGGCUUAACCUGGGAAUGGCAUUCGAGACUGAAUAGCUAGGGUACGGUAGAGGGAAGUGGAAUUUCCGGUGUAGCGGUGAAAUGCGUAGAUAUCGGAAGGAACAUCAGUGGCGAAAGCGACUUCCUGGACCAGUACCGACGUUCAGGCACGAAAGCGUGGGGAGCAAACAGG
rnacentral:rRNA from 1 species